AUGCUUGUCUUUGUGUUUUGUCAUCACCUCUUGGCGCCGCCGCAUGACGCCUCUUCUUCAACGCCUCUUAAACGGGGAGCAGCUCAAAAGAUACAGCAAGUCUUCUACGGGGCGUCGGCCGCUGAGGAGGAGGAUGAGGAGGAGGAGGAGGAGGAGGAGCUCCCAGUGGCUCGUCUGAGUGAGACCACGUUGUCAGAGACAGACUUCUUCCUUUUGACAGAAAAGGCCAGAGGACAGAUUUCUGUCACUGACUCUUCAAAGAGGAAAAAAAACAGGUCGCCUCCACAAACCGUCGUUAUAGUCCAGCAGACCGACAGAGACAUGAGGGACACCGAGACACUAAGAGAAGUCUCAGACGAGAGGAAAGACGGCGGUUCAGUCAGACAGCUGCAGGACGAGGGGGUGCAGGACACCGAGGGUACAGGAGAGAGACAACCGGAAGUCAGGAAAACUACUGCAGUCAAAGAAAUAGAACGAGGAGAGACCGAGGAAUCGGUGCAUCAUCGUGCUAAAAUCAUCUCAGACAAAGCAGAGGAUGAGGACAGUGUAACUGAGACAGUCACAAUCCAGCAGACAGAGGUCACAGUGAAGAGGUCACAAGGGGGGUCCACUUGGGGGAAGAAGGUAGAAGAGAAAACUAUUAGAAAAGAGGACAGUGUAGAUAAAGCAGCUGUCAGUCCCGCAUCCAACAAAGAUGAGACUAGUGCGCCAGAAAAGGCUCCGGUUAAGAAACCAGAGAACAAGAAGGCUGAUGAGACAGUAACAGAAGCUCGGCUCCGGAGGCCAAAAGAGACUCAAUCUGACUUUGUUGCUGCAAGAAGUGACGCAGAGAAGAAGAAAGAGGAAUCCAAGGAACAAACAAGUCUUAAAGUGGAGGAUUGGGUCCAGAGAAAACCCUCUGGACCAGCUGCUUCCAGAGGUACACAGAGUCUUUUCCAUCUUUCUUCUUCUUUUAUGGACCACAGGGGGGCACCAUUCCCUCCCCCCCUAAACGUCUCCUGA
ensembl:lncRNA